rnacentral:rRNA from 1 species
GUACUUGUACCGACUGGAUGAGCAGCGAACGGGUGAGUAACGCGUGGGGAAUCUGCCUUUGAGCGGGGGACAACAUUUGGAAACGAAUGCUAAUACCGCAUAAAAACUUUAAACACAAGUUUUAAGUUUGAAAGAUGCAAUUGCAUCACUCAAAGAUGAUCCCGCGUUGUAUUAGCUAGUUGGUGAGGUAAAGGCUCACCAAGGCGAUGAUACAUAGCCGACCUGAGAGGGUGAUCGGCCACAUUGGGACUGAGACACGGCCCAAACUCCUACGGGAGGCAGCAGUAGGGAAUCUUCGGCAAUGGACGAAAGUCUGACCGAGCAACGCCGCGUGAGUGAAGAAGGUUUUCGGAUCGUAAAACUCUGUUGGUAGAGAAGAACGUUGGUGAGAGUGGAAAGCUCAUCAAGUGACGGUAACUACCCAGAAAGGGACGGCUAACUACGUGCCAGCAGCCGCGGUAAUACGUAGGUCCCGAGCGUUGUCCGGAUUUAUUGGGCGUAAAGCGAGCGCAGGUGGUUUAUUAAGUCUGGUGUAAAAGGCAGUGGCUCAACCAUUGUAUGCAUUGGAAACUGGUAGACUUGAGUGCAGGAGAGGAGAGUGGAAUUCCAUGGGUAGCGG